rnacentral:rRNA from 1 species
UCGUAAGUCAGUGGUGAAAUCUCACAGCUUAACUGUGAAACUGCCGUUGAUACUGCGGGUCUUGAGUAAGGUAGAAGUGGCUGGAAUAAGUAGUGUAGCGGUGAAAUGCAUAGAUAUUACUUAGAACACCAAUUGCGAAGGCAGGUCACUAUGUCUUAACUGACGCUGAUGGACGAAAGCGUGGGGAGCGAACAGGAUUAGAUACCCUGGUAGUCCACGCCGUAAACGAUGCUAACUCGUUUUUGGGGCUUUGGCUUCAGAGACUAAGCGAAAGUGAUAAGUCAGCCACCUGGGGAGUACGUUCGCAAGAAUGAAACUCAAAGGAGUUGACGGGGGCCCGCACAAGCGGUGGAUUAUGUGGUUUAAUUCGAUGCAACGCGAAGAACCUUACCAGGUCUUGACAUCUAGUGCAAUCUGUAGAGAUACGGAGUUCCCUUCGGGGACGCUAAGACAGGUGGUGCAUGGCUGUCGUCAGCUCGUGUCGUGAGAUGUUGGGUUAAGUCCCGCAACGAGCGCAACCCUUGUUAUUAGUUGCCAGCAUUAAGUUGGGCACUCUAAUGAGACUGCCGGUGACAAACCGGAGGAAGGUGGGGAUGACGUCAAGUCAUCAUGCCCCUUAUGACCUGGGCUACACACGUGCUACAAUGGGCAGUACAACGAGAAGCAAGCCUGCGAAGGCAAGCGAAUCUCUGAAAGCUGUUCUCAGUUCGGACUGCAGUCUGCAACUCGACUCUAUGAAGCUGGAAUCGCUAGUAAUCGCGCAU